GCCAGCAGCCAUAUCAUUCUGACCUAACAACUGGCAACUUGGUGAGUACCUGGAUGGGAGACCUCCUGGGAAAUACUAAGGUUGCUGCUGGAA
rnacentral:rRNA from 1 species